GACGAACGCUGGCGGCGUGGAUUAGGCAUGCAAGUCGAACGGUAUCAUCCUUUCGGGGGUGAGAGAGUGGCGAACUGGUGAGUAACACGUAGGUUAUCUACCCUCAAGACGGGGACAACCCAGGGAAACUUGGGCUAAUACCGGAUGUGAGCAACUUUUAGUUGUUUGAAAGGUGGCGUAAGCUGUCGCUUGGGGAUGAGCCUGCGUCCUAUUAGUUAGUUGGUGAGGUAACGGCUCACCUAGGCAAUGAUAGGUAGGCGGCCUUAACGGGUGGUCGCCCACACUGGGAUUGAGAUACGGCCCAGACUCCUACGGGAGGCAGCAGUCGAGAAUAGUCUACAAUGGUCGGAAGACUGAUAGUGCGACGCCGCGUGAACGAUGAAUCCCUUCGGGGCGUAAAGUUCUUUUAUAUGUGAGCAGUGCUUCUUAUAUUAACAGUAUGGGGAGAGAGAUAUUAGCAUAUGAAUAAGCAACGGCUAACUCCGUGCCAGCAGCCGCGGU
rnacentral:rRNA from 1 species